rnacentral:rRNA from 1 species
GUAUGGAACUGGACUCGAUGGAGGGGGAUAACUACUGGAAACGGUAGCUAAUACCGCAUAACGUCGCAAGACCAAAGAGGGGGACCUUCGGGCCUCUUGCCAUCGGAUGUGCCCAGAUGGGAUUAGCUAGUAGGUGGGGUAACGGCUCACCUAGGCGACGAUCCCUAGCUGGUCUGAGAGGAUGACCAGCCACACUGGAACUGAGACACGGUCCAG